UGGAAUGUCUGUGCACAAGUGACCGACUUCAGAACAGAGUGACUUUGCGAAGACUUUUUGUGUGUGCUCUCUCUCCCCCCGCGCACGUUACUGCCUGCACCAAAACCCUGGGAUUCUGCAUCUUUGGUAUUCUCACGCCACCAGACUCAGCUCCGCUGGAGAUGACGACGGGGUGAUUUGCUCAGCAACAGCAGCAGGAAACGAUGGAUCGGGAGAGAUAGAAAAGCAACGAAGUUAGCUCAAGGCAGCUGGUCCAGUAUCUUCUGUGUCUGCUCAAGAAGAGCAGAUGUUAUCAGGUCUCCAAGAUGGCACAGUGAGAGUGGAUAACCCGUGGUUCCUGUGAGCCUGAAGAAGACUAAGCUUACGGAGAACAAUCGUGUUAUGACCCUGCAAAUGUCUUAAGCAAAAAGCAAGAAUAGAAGACUGCAGGUCAGGCAGCAAUAUGAUGAGGAUAUGGUCCAAGAGAAACGUCAAGACAGCGUGAUGUUGAAACCGGAAAAAUGAUAUUUAAGGAUGGAUACUGUGAAAUCAGUGGAAUCUUGCUUCUUGUGGUUGCUUCAGUGAACAUUCAACGCUGUCGAUCUUUUGCUGAAGACAGUCAUAAAAACAAGACACAAGAUUUUUGUUUGUUUGCUUGUCUUCCCUUGCAGAGGUUUACAAAAAUAAGGUCACAAUCAACAUUCAUUGCUGUCGGUGGGUUUAACUAUGUGGACAAGCUCACUGAACAAUGAAUGCAACUGUGGCCCCACUUUUUACAGUCACUGAAGAAUACUGGCUUUGGAAGCAGCAUCAGAAUUACCCAAGUACACCAGUGCACUGAAUGCCAUGAUUAUGUUAAGCGAAAGGUCUUUUCCUUUUUCUCUACCAUUUAUUAUCUAGAUUGGAGGUUCUCUUCACCAUAAAUAUGAGAAAAAUUACUUUACUGUCCAAGUCUCUUCAGGACCUUACCAACAGGUCUCAUAGUAAAACUCAUUAGCACCCUCAGCUAGGAAAGGGGAGAUUAAAGGGAAUCAAGCGAAGUGACAUGCAUACAUACCAUAUCUUCAGAUACCUGAUGGAAGUGUUCUAGGGAAACAGAAACAACAAGGAAAGCUGGCUUUUUUGCACUUCACAUUGAUAAUAAUCAGUCACCUUUAUUUCGAUCUCAGACCAGCAUAGGAGCAAUUAAGAACAUAAAACAUAGUAAGUGACGUACUAGAAGCCUAGAGGUGACACAAUACAAGCAUCAUAAUAAUUAUAAACGACUAUAAAAAUCAGAAGUCUAGUACAAAAAGCAAGACCGCAAACUAAGUGGCCCUUAAUGGCCAAGAUCUAAAGGCUGUAGUGAACAGUAGUUAAUGCUAAAUGGUCAACAAAAGCCCAGAGAAACACAGCUUCCUAUACUGCACUGUUGGGCAAAGCUCAGACCUACCAUGUCCAAUCAAGACCCACACUGGAGAGAUAUUAGGGCGGAACGUGCACCUUCUGAGCAGACCCACCUCAUAUUCUGGGAAUCACUUGAUCACAUAAAAAUAUCCCUCACACACAGACAGCGGAACAGAAAUAAAUAUUCUUAGGGUUUCCCCCCCAGAAGUGUGUCUCAUUCCUGAAGAACUUUGCAGGUGGGGUGGAAUUCAUAUGUGCUUUUGUAAUAAUUGCUUAAUUUUGUUCUCUGGUUAUACACACACUUUGUAUGUGUUAUGCUUUAAACAUUUGCUUCUGGUUGUUUAAUUUUGAUACCUGAUGAAUAUUUGUUGUAUUUAUCCUUGUUUCAAGUGAUACACACACAAGUGUCCCUUUAAUUUCUUAACAGCAAAAUUCUCUUUAUAACUGAUAACAAUUGUCAAAAGGACUAAAAGGCACCAAUAAAUAACUAAAUAACCAAGUGAUUUCUUUUGUUUUAAAAAAGGAUAAAGGGAGCUACUUUCCAGAUGAAAACAGCAGUUUACUGCAGAACGUAAUUCAGAGCCCCUGGUGGCGCAGUGGUAAAACUGCCGCCCUGUAACCAGAAGGUUACAAGUUCGAUCCUGACCAGGGGCUCAAGGUUGACUCAGCCUUCCAUCCUUCCGAGGUCGGUAAAAUGAGUACCCAGAAUGUUGGGGGCAAUAUGCUAAAUCAUUGUAAACCGCUUGGAGAGCUCCGGCUAUAAAGCGGUAUAUAAAUGUAAGUGCUAUUGCUAUUGCUAAAUAAUUGUGAGAACUUAAUUUAGAAACAUAAUACACAAGAUUGGAGCUGCAAUUAUAAAUUGCUUGCCUCUGCUGCAGUUUUGAGUUCACUUAUUUCCCAUAUAAGUUACAUGCUUUUACAAUGUUCUUGCCACUUAUCAGAAUGAGGAAAUUUGGAGGUAGAACUAAUAGCUCUUGAGAAGGCAAAUAUUCUGCUUUCAAGUACACCAUUGAAAACUUGCAAUAGUUAGCCAUGGGGUCAGGAUGACAUUUCCAGGUGAAAUAAGUUCUUUUUUUUGAUAAAAAGUGCCAUAUUAAUUUCUUAUUAUUUUAUAUUUGGUUGAGUAAAUAUUUAAAAUUGUCAGUGUUUCAAGUGAUACAUUUUAGACUCAUGCUACAUUUCCCAUGCUAUGUGAAGAGUCCCAUGAUAUAUGAAGAGUUUCUAAUAAAUUUGUGUUGUUAUGGAAGGAAGGGAAAGGACAUUCUGGCCUUCACUUACCAACCAGAUAACCAGGGGCUCCUAGGAGGUUACAUCUCUUUCUUCACAGUAAGAAUAUGCAUGACUAGAAGCUGCUCUCAGAAUCACACCAUAGGACAAGAGCUGUUUUGGAAGUUUUUUCCAUUUAUGUUUGUUCCUUUUAAAAAUGUUAAAAAUGUGCCUGUUUUCCUAAGACAUCCAGAACCUUUGUGAUGGAGUAUAAGAUAUGAUAUGAUAUGAUAUGAUAUGAUAUGAUAUGAUAUGAUAUGAUAUGAUAUGAUAUAAAUAAACUAAGCAUUUCAAAGACAGUAUAUGGAAUAUUUUGAUGAGAGCAUAACACAAGAAUU